UUAUGGAAGAGAGAUAGUAGAGAUUGAAGAAGAGAAGCAGUGUAUUUGUGGAAGAACAUAUAAGAGAAGAGACCGUUAAUAUCACUAUUCAAAUUACAUAUAUAUAUAUACAGUAUUAUGUAAGUGUAUAACAAGCGAAGAAUCACCAACACCACCAACUUUCCCUCUCUCUCUCUCUCUCUCUCUCUCUCUCUCUCUCUCUCUUGUUCCCUCAUAGAAUUGUCGAUUCUACAGAACAGAGGGGUGUCGGGGAAGAGAAAUGUCGAGUGACGGAGACACUGAAAACUAUGUGAAUGGGGAUUCGUUGGAGAAGGUGAAGCAGAGUGUCAGAGAUCGAUCUAAGAAAGUGGCUCAAACGAAAGAGAUUUUGUCUGAACAAGCCGUUAAGUCGAAGGAGAUGUUGUCUAAACAAGCGGUUAAGAUCGCUAAACAGGCUAAAGAACAUGAACGAUUCAUCAACAAGGUGACUUAUUUAUGUAGUGUUCUUGGUUUUGGGGCAUUUUGCUUUCUUUUGGGUGCCAGACCUCAAGUUAUUCCCUAUGUAUACUGUGUGUUCUAUGUAACCUUCGUUCCUCUUCGAUGGAUUUAUUACCGGUUCAUGAAAUGGCACUAUUAUCUUCUGGAUUUUUGCUACUAUGCUAAUACUAUCUUCUUGAUCAUGCUUCUGUUAUUUCCAAGAAAUGAAAAACUUUUCAUGAUUUGCUUCUCAUUUGCCGAGGGGCCAUUAGCAUGGGCAUUGAUCGUUUGGCGUUGUAGCUUAGUUUUUAGUUCUGUUGACAAACUUGUAAGCGUCCUCAUCCAUCUUUUACCUGGGAUAGUUUUCUUCACAAUUCGAUGGUGGGAUAUCACAUUCUUUGAAGCCAUGCAUCCCGAGGGAAUGGCUCAGAUAGCUUCAUUGCCUUACGUAGAAAGCAAAUCUUUCCUCUGGACAUGGCUAUUUUUUGUACCCUUGGCUACUUACAGCAUCUGGCAAGCUCUCUAUUUUCUCAUUGUAAAUGUCCUACGUCGGCAGAGACUGUUAAGAGAUCCCGAAGUCAUGACUUCAUACAGGGAACUCUCGAAAAAAGCUCAGAAAGCUAACAACAUAUGGUGGCAUUUAAGUGGUUUGCUUGGUGAACAAAAUCGCCUCUUCAUGUAUAUAAUGCUCCAGGCAUUAUUCACUGUGGCAACCAUGGCACUCACGGUCCCUAUAUUUUUGUCAUAUAGAUUACACAUUAUUUUCCAAAUUCUCAAGGUCUCUGCAACAGUAUGGAAUGGAGCAAUCUUUUUACUUGAAGUGAUGCCGAGGCAGGUGGUUCUUAAGGAGAAAAAGAAAACAGUGAUGCUAACUGGUCAUACCCAGGAAGAUCAAUCUGCCAUUGCACUAGAAAAUACAAUUAAGCUUGCAAGAAUCUUUCUAGGGCUUGGAUAUUCUCAAGUACUCUCCGAGUAAGUUGGUUAGGUGAGAGAGUCAGUCCCAGUCAUUUCUUCUGUAUGCUUCAUUGGUCGACAAUAUGACAUGCAUAUGAUACAACAGUGUUUCAGCACCAUUGAAUAAGGUUUUGGAUUGGAUUCAAGAAAGCGUCUUGUGUUUCCUUGACAACCACUUUAGUAGCUAGCUCCCGGUGUCAAUCCAAGUCCCAACAUCGGUGUAGGUCCUGCCGGCUGGCCUUUCAUUGUUGGAACAGAGAUUGCUACCUUGUAAUUUUGUAAUUUGCAGAAGAUGAUACUCAAUGAUAUGUACAUUUCAAUACAAACAUGAAGUUAAUGCAGUCAUUUACAAGGCAGAGAUACAAUGAAGCAACCUUGAUUUCAAUUUGAAAA